rnacentral:rRNA from 1 species
GAUGAACGCUAGCGGGAGGCCUAACACAUGCAAGCCGAGCGGUAUUGUUUCUUCGGCAAUGAGAGAGCGGCGUACGGGUGCGUAACACGUGUGCAACCUGCCUUUAUCUGGGGGAUAGCCUUUCGAAAGGAAGAUUAAUACUCCAUAAUAUAUUGAACGGCAUCGUUUAAUAUUGAAAGCUCCGGCGGAUAGAGAUGGGCACGCGCAAGAUUAGCUAGUUGGUGAGGUAACGGCUCACCAAGGCGAUGAUCUUUAGGGGGCCUGAGAGGGUGAUCCCCCACACUGGUACUGAGACACGGACCAGACUCCUACGGGAGGCAGCAGUGAGGAAUAUUGGUCAAUGGGUGCAAGCCUGAACCAGCCAUCCCGCGUGAAGGACGACUGCCCUAUGGGUUGUAAACUUCUUUUGUAUAGGGAUAAACCUACCCUCGAGAGGGUAGCUGAAGUUACUAUACGAAUAAGCACCGGCUAACUCCGUG